GACAGAGGGUGCGAACGUUGUUCGGAAUUACUGGGCGUAAAGCGCGCGUAGGCGGUGAUCUAUGUCAGAGGUGAAAUCCCGGGGCUCAACUCCGGAAUUGCCUUUGAAACGGGAUCGCUAGAGUCCGAGAGAGGAUGGCGGAAUUCCUAGUGUAGAGGUGAAAUUCGUAGAUAUUAGGAAGAACACCGGUGGCGAAGGCGGCCAUCUGGCUCGGUACUGACGCUCAGGCGCGAAAGCGUGGGGAGCAAACAGG
rnacentral:rRNA from 1 species